rnacentral:lncRNA from 1 species
GUACAGCUCACACAGGGAAAGGGGAAAACAGCAACCUCUUGAGCUGGAGCCUUAGGCUAGAAAAGAUCACUGAUUACCCACCUGUUCCCCCUGGAUACUAGGGCUUCAAUCCAGAAGGUGCUGUGAUGAAGUGGCUUCAGCAAAAUAUUACCUGAGACAUCCUGAUCCAUUAUGAGAACGGAUUCUCUCUACUCUCUGUCGCCCAGGCUGGAGUGCAAUGGUGCUAUCUCGGCUCACCACAACCUUCGCCUCCCGGGUUCAAGAGAUUUUUCUGCCUCAGCUUCCUGAAAACCUAGGACUACAGGCGUGUGCCACCACACUCAGCUAAUUUUUAUUUUUUCUCCGUGUUAGCCAGGCUGGUCUCAAACUCCUGACCUCGUGAUCCGCCUGCCUCGGCCUCCCGAAGUGCUAGGAUUACAGGUGUGAGCCACCACGCUCGGCCUGUUUUUCCUUCUUAUACAACACCUACCACAUUAUAUUAUGAUUAAUAAUGCAUGCUUUUCUUUUUUAGUUUUUGAGUUUCUGCCAGGUUGCGGGGGAGAUGAAGUGUU